rnacentral:rRNA from 1 species
GAUGAACGCUGGCGGCGUGCCUAAUACAUGCAAGUCGAGCGAACAGACGAGGAGCUUGCUCCUCUGACGUUAGCGGCGGACGGGUGAGUAACACGUGGAUAACCUACCUAUAAGACUGGGAGAACUUCGGGAAACCGGAGCUAAUACCGGAGAAUAUAUUGAACCGCAGGGUUCAAUAGUGAAAGACGGUUUUGCUGUCACUUAUAGAUGGAUCCGCGCCGCAUUAGCUAGUUGGUAAGGUAACGGCUUACCAAGGCAACGAUGCGUAGCCGACCUGAGAGGGUGAUCGGCCACACUGGAACUGAGACACGGUCCAGACUCCUACGGGAGGCAGCAGUAGGGAAUCUUGCGCAAUGGGCGCAAGCCUGACGGAGCAACGCCGCGUGAGUGAUGAAGGUCUUCGGAUCGUAAAACUCUGUUAUUAGGGAAGAACAAAUGUGUAAGUAACUAUGCACGUCUUGACGGUACCUAAUCAGAAAGCCCCGGCUAACUACGUG